UUAAGCGACUAAGCGUACACGGUGGAUGCCCUGGCAGUCAGAGGCGAUGAAGGACGUGCUAAUCUGCGAUAAGCGUCGGUAAGGUGAUAUGAACCGUUAUAACCGGCGAUUUCCGAAUGGGGAAACCCAGUGUGAUUCGUCACACUAUCAUUAACUGAAUCCAUAGGUUAAUGAGGCGAACCGGGGGAACUGAAACAUCUAAGUACCCCGAGGAAAAGAAAUCAACCGAGAUUCCCCCAGUAGCGGCGAGCGAACGGGGAGCAGCCCAGAGUCUGAAUCAGCUUGUGUGUUAGUGGAAGCGUCUGGAAAGUCGCACGGUACAGGGUGACAGUCCCGUACACGAAAGCGCACAGGUUGUGAACUCGAAGAGUAGGGCGGGACACGUGGUAUCCUGUCUGAAUAUGGGGGGACCAUCCUCCAAGGCUAAAUACUCCUGACUGACCGAUAGUGAACCAGUACCGUGAGGGAAAGGCGAAAAGAACCCCGGCGAGGGGAGUGAAAAAGAACCUGAAACCGUGUACGUACAAGCAGUGGGAGCACCUUCGUGGUGUGACUGCGUACCUUUUGUAUAAUGGGUCAGCGACUUAUAUUCUGUAGCAAGGUUAACCGAAUAGGGGAGCCGAAGGGAAACCGAGUCUUAACUGGGCGUUAAGUUGCAGGGUAUAGACCCGAAACCCGGUGAUCUAGCCAUGGGCAGGUUGAAGGUUGGGUAACACUAACUGGAGGACCGAACCGACUAAUGUUGAAAAAUUAGCGGAUGACUUGUGGCUGGGGGUGAAAGGCCAAUCAAACCGGGAGAUAGCUGGUUCUCCCCGAAAGCUAUUUAGGUAGCGCCUCGUGAACUCAUCUUCGGGGGUAGAGCACUGUUUCGGCUAGGGGGUCAUCCCGACUUACCAACCCGAUGCAAACUACGAAUACCGAAGAAUGUUAUCACGGGAGACACACGGCGGGUGCUAACGUCCGUCGUGAAGAGGGAAACAACCCAGACCGCCAGCUAAGGUCCCAAAGUCAUGGUUAAGUGGGAAACGAUGUGGGAAGGCCCAGACAGCCAGGAUGUUGGCUUAGAAGCAGCCAUCAUUUAAAGAAAGCGUAAUAGCUCACUGGUCGAGUCGGCCUGCGCGGAAGAUGUAACGGGGCUAAACCAUGCACCGAAGCUGCGGCAGCGACACUAUGUGUUGUUGGGUAGGGGAGCGUUCUGUAAGCCGUUGAAGGUGGCCUGUGAGGGUUGCUGGAGGUAUCAGAAGUGCGAAUGCUGACAUAAGUAACGAUAAAGCGGGUGAAAAGCCCGCUCGCCGGAAGACCAAGGGUUCCUGUCCAACGUUAAUCGGGGCAGGGUGAGUCGACCCCUAAGGCGAGGCCGAAAGGCGUAGUCGAUGGGAAACAGGUUAAUAUUCCUGUACUUGGUGUUACUGCGAAGGGGGGACGGAGAAGGCUAUGUUAGCCGGGCGACGGUUGUCCCGGUUUAAGCAUGUAGGCGGAGGUUCCAGGUAAAUCCGGUACCUUUUUAACGCUGAGGUGUGAUGACGAGGCACUACGGUGCUGAAGUAACAAAUGCCCUGCUUCCAGGAAAAGCCUCUAAGCAUCAGGUAACAUCAAAUCGUACCCCAAACCGACACAGGUGGUCAGGUAGAGAAUACCAAGGCGCUUGAGAGAACUCGGGUGAAGGAACUAGGCAAAAUGGUGCCGUAACUUCGGGAGAAGGCACGCUGAUAUGUAGGUGAAGCCCCUGCGGGUGGAGCUGAAAUCAGUCGAAGAUACCAGCUGGCUGCAACUGUUUAUUAAAAACACAGCACUGUGCAAACACGAAAGUGGACGUAUACGGUGUGACGCCUGCCCGGUGCCGGAAGGUUAAUUGAUGGGGUUAGCGCAAGCGAAGCUCUUGAUCGAAGCCCCGGUAAACGGCGGCCGUAACUAUAACGGUCCUAAGGUAGCGAAAUUCCUUGUCGGGUAAGUUCCGACCUGCACGAAUGGCGUAAUGAUGGCCAGGCUGUCUCCACCCGAGACUCAGUGAAAUUGAACUCGCUGUGAAGAUGCAGUGUACCCGCGGCAAGACGGAAAGACCCCGUGAACCUUUACUAUAGCUUGACACUGAACA
rnacentral:rRNA from 1 species